GAGCGCCCCGCAAGGGGAGCAGAAGACGGGAGAGUACACGUGGGAACGUGCCCUUCAGUUCGGAACAACCCAGGGAAACUUGGGCUAAUACCGGAUACGUCCGUAAGGAGAAAGAUUUAUCGCUGAAGGAUCGGCCCGCGUCUGAUUAGCUAGUUGGUGAGGUAACGGCCUACCAAGGCGACGAUCCGUAGCUGGUCUGAGAGGACGACCAGCCACACUGGGACUGAGACACGGCCCAUACUCCUACGGGAGGCAGCAGUGGGGAAUAUUGGACAAUGGGGGCAACCCUGAUCCAGCGACGCCGCGUGUGUGAAGAAGGCCUGCGGGUUGUAAAGCACUUUUAGUGGGGAUGAAAAGCUCAGGGAUAACACCUCUGGGUCUUGACCUAACCCACAGAAAAAGCACCGGCUAACUCUGUGCCAGCAGCCGCGGUAAU
rnacentral:rRNA from 1 species